rnacentral:misc_RNA from 1 species
AAUUAGAGUCGUUGAAUUGUUCACUUUAGAAGAUGUGAUUCCACAAAAGAACACCACAUUCCUGAUUCUAGCUGCACAAACGCACUGCAACUCAUCUUUCAAGGUCAAAACAUACUUGAUAUCUGAUAAAGAUAUAACAGGCAAUAAGAGCAAUUACCCAUCCAAAAUAUGUAACAUAGCAACUACCAAAAUGCUAGCAGAUGCAGAUGCCACCCAAUUUACAAGUUCUCCUUUUUUUUUUAUUUUCCAUUUUCAUUUCCUAUUUUCUCUUUUUUUUAUAAUAAUAAUAUACUUGGGAAAAAAUCCCUCAAACAAAAGAAAUCACUGCGUCAUCCAUCCUAUUCACAAAUUUCCAUCUAAUGGUAUAAAUCACUCAGGGACCAGAAAACUUGGCAGCCAGAGUCCCUUGUCUCUUCCCCAUUGCAUUUGUCAAAAACCCCAGCCCCAUGAAGAAUAAAAUAUUUGCUAAAGACACUCUUCCAUGUCACUCCACUCCUUUACAUUUCCACCAAUUCAGGCACAUCCUUCACCAAAUACAAAAGAUCGAUACUCUAACAAGCAAGAGAAUCUCUCUUGCUAUUCACAAAUUUCCAUCUCUCUUCGCUGCAGUCACGAUUGGUACAUUCCAACGCAAUCUGACGAGUGAACAUUUGGGCAAAGGAAAAUAUGCAUUGUUCUAUAAAGUGGUAACCGAAUUCUCAUCAGGUUUUAGGCUCUGUUCGGACAUAGGUGAGACUCCUGCCAGUAGGGGACACAAGAGUGCUCCCUGAGACUAGAGCCCCCCUCUCAGCUGGGAUGCCUUUAGCAUCUCGCUUCCACUGGAAACUUCUGGCACCAGGUUUCGUAGGAAGGCGAGGCCUAAAUGCACCAGGAAUACCUCUAGGAAAAGGAACUCUGGUAAACCUAGCAGUAGCAUAUGGAGAGCCAUGGACAACACGGGGCCAUGUCAUGAUAGGAGUAGCUUCUUGGUGGGCAGGGCUUCUCUUUACAACCUUGAGAAUCCGAGACAUAAAUGAGGUACCAUCAAGAGAUAAUGCAUUGUCUGCUGCCUCUUUUCGCAUAAAUUCUACAUAAGCUGACCCCUUUGGUUGCCCUGUUGCUGCAUCAGUGACUAUAACCACUUUGAGCACUUCACCAAACUUAUUAAAAUGCCGAGAAAGGCUGUCCUUAGUAGCAGCAAAAUGAACAUUGCUAACAAAAAUGGUUCGAGAAUCAGCAUCCUCUAAUGGACGACCAGUAGUAUAUGAACCAGGCACAGAUUGCAGUGUCUUCAGAAAUUCUUUCUGUGUAUCAUCAACUGGCUGUGCCUGUUUAAAAUCGCUAUUCUCCUUCAUUCCUAGCAUACCAGAUUUCCUAGCAUCUACCUCGUUCUCCUGAACAGAUUUCCAAUUACCUAUUUCCGUAACCUCUCUAGAUUCCUGAUAAUGAGGUGCUUUCCAGGUAUUUCGAUUCACAGAAAUGUUUAGCGAAGUUUUAGCAGAUGAAACAGGUUGCUCCUGACCCUUAUUUCGGGCAAUUUGCAUUACAUCAUCAGCAUUCUUAGUUACACUGUACUGUACCAUGAGUGAAUCAUCCCUCUUAUUUCCACCAGAUGUGCCAGUUUCAGACACAUCCAUAACUCUCCGGCCCAUAUCAUCAUCAUCAUCAUAACCUUCGUUGUCAGACAUUGAGACACCAGCCAACCCAACUUCAGUCUCCAUAAUACCAAUAUUCCCUCCACAUCUUUGAUGAUAGAUCGAGUGAAUCUGCUCUGGAAUUUGGUUAAAUUCUUCACAUUCUUCAACUUCAACAGCAGCAUCUCUAAUGUCUCUGAAUUGUUCAGCAGUAUCGGAUACAUCCAUUUCACGAGAUUUAACUUUUACCGCAUCUUCAGCAGCUUCUUGCACAGCUUUAAUUACAGUAGCCAUAGGAUUUGGAACUCUAGUAAUCGACUGAAUCCUCCUAGGAUGAUCAACUAAUGAUGAUUCUCCAGUGGAUGUAGACACCGCAGAACGAAGCCGCUUUAGUGAGGGUUCUUUUACCAGACCAGAUGGCCUCAAAUUUCCCACAGCAUCUCGCACUGCAAAUUGAAGAAGUCGUCGAGGAGCAUCAAUGGUUGCUUGAGAAACUGCCUCCCUCUUCAUAUGCUGUCGCUCAUCCUGCCGACUCCUCUUCUUCUGUUGUGGAGGGCAAGGAGACGGAGAUCUUCUUGCAUGACUUGAUUUGUGAUGACUUCUUUCAUCCAAAUGUCCAAUAUCAACCUCAGAGCUUCGAAGAGGAGGUGGUUCAGUUGCAUCCCUCAUUAAGCCUUUCCAUUCUCUUUUGUGUCGACUUACGGAUAAGUUAUCAGACUUCCCUUUCCCAGAUUCGGAAUCAAUAUGAUGAGAUUCAUCGCUCCCAGCAUGGUCUCCCAGUGUGGGUUUUGUUUGGACUACAUCACUUAAAUAAGUCUCCUGAGGCUGUACAUAUAAAUCCAAAUUUGAGGCCAGGUGAUCCCACAGCCAAGAUACAAAAGAAUCGCUAUCAUCCCUCAAAAAAACAUCCAAUUCAUUCCUAGCUUCUUCUUUACGCCUGCCAUUUCUCAGCAAGACAAUCACAUAUUCCACAAGAGUAUCAUCAGUAUAAUCGCCCAUGAACUCCUUAAGCUUAUCCUUAACACUCUCUCUCAACUUAUCCGCUCCAUCUCCCGUGAAAUUAAGCUUAAAAGUCCGAUGCUCAAGUCGAUCCACGCUCCCCAUACCUUUCAAUAAAAAUAAAAACCCUUAAUAAUUGACCUCUUUAAACGCUUUUCUAUCCACGAUACCCAAAAUAAAAGCUCAAAGAGACGAGGGUUUAGGAGGUAAAUGUGGAAGCAGCGGCGAUAAGGCAGGUGGAAGAAUGUGAGAGGUUUAGGACAGUGUUUCCUCGGGAAAGUGAUGGAAAAUGCGUUGAGAGAGGGAUUUUUUGGUUUUGGGGUUUCAUGGGAAAUCCUGGGAAUUUUUGUUUAGCAGAGAAAUAACAACAAACGAAACAAAUAAACGGAGGGAGAGGGAGGGAGAGAAUAUAUAUAGAGAAGCAGAAGGCCGCGCCGCCACCACCGACAAGGAAUGCCGCCAAGGCUAAUGGAGAGGCCAUUAGGCCGCAAGAGGAUGAGGGAAUGGCUGUAAAAUUAAGUUGGGCCGAGAGAAAAGCU